GAGCCGGAAGUUAAUGAGUGAAGAAAACAACGGUCCUGGGUGAUAUUUGGGUCCUUGGCAUUUCAUGUGAGAGGAAUUUUUAAGCAGGUAAAGUUUGCUUUGCAGAUGACACAUCCACUUUAUGAGAUGAUGCAGUGCAAUGACCUACCCG